CGCAAUGGGCGAAAGCCUGACGGAGCGACGCCGCGUGAUUGAUGAAGUCCCUCUGGGACGUAAAGAUCUUUUGGGAGGGAGAAAGUUUAUUGAUAGUACCUCCCGAAUAAGGGGUUGCUAAACUCGUGCCAGCAGCAGCGGUAAUACGAGUGCCCCCAGCGUUAUCCGGAAUCAUUGGGCGUAAAGGGUGUGUAGGUGGCAGUAUUAGUCUCUUGUUAAAUAUCCCGGCUUAACCCGGGGCCUGCGAGGGAAACGGCACAGCUGGAGGGUGGCAGGGGUCGAUGGAACUCAUGGAGUAGGGGUGAAAUCCGUUGAUAUCAUGGGGAACACCGAAAGCGAAGGCAGUCGGCUGGGGCAUUCCUGACACUGAAACACGAAAGCGU
rnacentral:rRNA from 1 species